rnacentral:rRNA from 1 species
GACGAACGCUGGCGGCGUGCUUAACACAUGCAAGUCGAACGGAAAGGCCCUGCUUUUGUGGGGUGCUCGAGUGGCGAACGGGUGAGUAACACGUGAGUAACCUGCCCUUGACUUUGGGAUAACUUCAGGAAACUGGGGCUAAUACCGGAUAGGAGCUCCUGCUGCACGGUGGGGGUUGGAAAGUUUCGGCGGUUGGGGAUGGACUCGCGGCUUAUCAGCUUGUUGGUGGGGUAGUGGUUUACCAAGGCUUUGACGGGUAGCCGGCCUGAGAGGGUGACCGGCCACAUUGGGACUGAGAUACGGCCCAGACUCCUACGGGAGGCAGCAGUGGGGAAUAUUGCACAAUGGGCGGAAGCCUGAUGCAGCAACGCCGCGUGCGGGAUGACGGCCUUCGGGUUGUAAACCGCUUUCGCCUGUGACGAAGCGUGAGUGACGGUAAUGGGUAAAGAAGCACCGGCUAACUACGUG